GACGAACGCUGGCGGCGUGCCUAAUACAUGCAAGUAGAACGCUGAAGAGAGGAGCUUGCUCUUCUUGGAUGAGUUGCGAACGGGUGAGUAACGCGUAGGUAACCUGCCUUGUAGCGGGGGAUAACUAUUGGAAACGAUAGCUAAUACCGCAUAACAAUGGAUGACACAUGUCAUUUAUUUGAAAGGGGCAAUUGCUCCACUACAAGAUGGACCUGCGUUGUAGUAGCUAGUAGGUGAGGUAAUGGCUCACCUAGGCGACGAUACAUAGCCGACCUGAGAGGGUGAUCGGCCACACUGGGACUGAGACACGGCCCAGACUCCUACGGGAGGCAGCAGUAGGGAAUCUUCGGCAAUGGGGGCAACCCUGACCGAGCAACGCCGCGUGAGUGAAGAAGGUUUUCGGAUCGUAAAGCUCUGUUGUAAGUCAAGAACGGGUGUGAGAGUGGAAAGUUCACACUGUGACGGUAGCUUACCAGAAAGGGACGGCUAACUACGUG
rnacentral:rRNA from 1 species